rnacentral:rRNA from 1 species
UACGGGGGGGGCAAGCGUUGUUCGGAAUUACUGGGCGUAAAGCGCACGUAGGCGGCUUUGUAAGUCAGAGGUGAAAGCCCGGAGCUUAACUCCGGAAUUGCCUUUGAGACUGCAUCGCUCGAAUCCAGGAGAGGUGAGUGGAAUUCCGAGUGUAGAGGUGAAAUUCGUAGAUAUUCGGAAGAACACCAGUGGCGAAG